rnacentral:rRNA from 1 species
ACGCGAAGAACCUUACCAACCCUUGACAUCCUUGGACCGCUAGAGAGAUCUAGUUUUCUCGUAAGAGACCAAGUGACAGGUGCUGCAUGGCUGUCGUCAGCUCGUGUCGUGAGAUGUUCGGUUAAGUCCGGCAACGAGCGCAACCCACAUCUUUAGUUGCCAUCAGGUUAAGCUGGGCACUCUAGAGAAACUGCCCGUGAUAAGCGGGAGGAAGGUGUGGAUGACGUCAAGUCCUCAUGGCCCUUACGGGUUGGGCUACACACGUGCUACAAUGGCAUCAACAAUGGGUUAAUCCCUAAAAGAUGUCUCAGUUCGGAUUGGGGUCUGCAACUCGACCCCAUGAAGUUGGAAUCCCUAGUAAUCGCGUAACAGCAUGACGCGGUGAAUACGUUCCCGGGUCUUGUACACACCGAAU